UGGAAGCAAAUCUGAUAGGUAGCAUUUUUCGCUGUCGAAUUAUGCUACCAUCUGUUUUAAUGGGAGGUAGCAAAAUCUGACAGGGUAGCACAAAUUGUCAGAACACCGCACCUAACAUUUCUCUGCAUAUCGUCAGACAUCUUCGUCGUGGAGUUUUCUGCCAAAUGAGGUAAGUUUUGACCUUUUAUUGUCUGUUUUACACACACACGGAAGAUAAAUGCAAAACACAAACUAAUUCGGUAAGGUUAACGUUACGAGCAAGCUGUCUGUGAAGCGACUGUGUAAACAGAGGCGUCCGACGCGCGGUAUCCGCGCCAGAAUAUGCCGCUUCAGGUCAGCAGUACGGUAACGUUAUCUUUCUCACUCUAAUGGACAAAUGCACACGACAUUAUGUCAAAAUGACCGUUGUGUUUCUUUCGUUUUCUUUUUAAAUGACAGGACGUGAUUGCUGCUGUACUGUGAAUCUCAAGCACACCUGCAUUCUUAUCAUGGAUGUUCAAGUUAAGGACCACUGUUGUGGUUGUGAGCUACAAAUACCCAGAGGAGGCGGCACUUACAUUGGAAUUCAUACAGAAAGUUUUCCUGUGAAGAAAUCCUGAAUGUGGGUUGAGAUGAAGGCAACCAGGUGAUGGGCAGUUCAAGAUUGCUGUCGUUUGAGAAGUUAAUGAACAAAUCUUCUUUCCUGUUGCGGUUGUGAGCUACAAAAUACCCAGAGGAGACGGCAUUUAUUCUGGAGUUCAUACAGAAGUAAGCAACACGUAUGUUAUAAAAAGUGUAUGAAGCAUUUGGUCGUGUUGCUGUUUAUUUAGUUGAAAAUAAUGAAGUAUAUUUUAGGACAUAGUUGAUUUGACAAGCUCAUAUGACCGAUACAAAUGGACACUAUUGGAAAUGUAAGUUAAGCUAUGUUUAAACAAUUGGAAAGUAUUAUGGAUUUGUUACGUUGAGACGUAUGUGCUCUAUGCAUGGCUCUCGUUCUUGCAUGCAUGCUCUCCCUCUCUCGCUCUCUCACUCUGUCUUUCUCUCAGGUGGCCCCGCCCUAAUUGAACGUGCCGGUACGUGCCCAGUGGUUGGGUGAAUCUGGAACUCCGCGUCUUUUAAAAAUGAGGCGUCGCAGAGCUGGAGUAAUUUUCCUGUGAAGAAAUCCUGAACGUGGUUUGAGAUGAAGGCAACCAAGUGGCUACACAUUCCUCCAAGACUCUUGCAUGAACAAUUUCGAAAAUCCAUGUAAUAUUUGAGUUUUUAAAUUGAAAAAAAAUGGCACUUGCAUUAAACAUGCAGUUAAAUGGAAAAUAAUACACAACUGCAUCACUUCAAUGAUAUUUCUGUUACAAUGAACUUUAAAAAUUCUGUUGUCAAGCCACUGGAGUCACAUACUUUAUACCUUUCUGAACCUUGAAAAUGGUAGUUGCAUAGACAAUCAACAGAGGGACAGAAAGUACCCAGAAAUAACUAAAAAUACUCUUAAUUUGUGUUCUAAAAAUGAAUUAAAGUCUUAUGGGUUUGGAAAGGUAUGAGGCUGAGCAAUUGACUGAAUUAACAUUUUUGUGUUAACUAUCCCUCUAAACAAUAUUGUUUUCUCUUAUAAGGAAAAAAAAGUUUCGAAUCUUGACUUUUACAGUUUGAAGUUUAAAUUUUGUGACCACUUUUUAGUACAACACCUGUAUUGUACAGAUGCUCAUGUUUUUUUGUUUUUUUUUAAUUCUGUCUGUUUAAAUUAUUACUGUUCAAAGCUAAACUGUCUUUUACAAUACAGGCAUUUUUCACUGUUUGACACAUUGUUAAAUGAAUUGAGUAUUUGAUAUUGUUUAGUCCUAACCCACUUAAGGCAAACAAAAGCCAUUGAAUGCAUUUUUAAGAAUGUUUACAUGAAG